rnacentral:rRNA from 1 species
GACGAACCGUGCGAACGUUGUUCGGAAUCACUGGGCUUAAAGGGCGCGUAGGCGGGCUUGCAAGUCUGCGGUGAAAGCCUCCAGCUUAACUGGAGAAGUGCCGUGGAUACUGCGAGCCUCGAGGAGGGUAGGGGCGUCUGGAACGUUGGGUGGAGCGGUGAAAUGCGUUGAUAUCCAACGGAACUCCGGUGGCGAAGGCGAGGCGCUGGACCCUUUCUGACGCUGAGGCGCGAAAGCCAGGGGAGCAAACGGG